GAUGAACGCUGGCGGCGUGCCUAAUACAUGCAAGUCGAGCGAACAGACGAGGAGCUUGCUCCUCUGACGUUAGCGGCGGACGGGUGAGUAACACGUGGAUAACCUACCUAUAAGACUGGGAUAACUUCGGGAAACCGGAGCUAAUACCGGAUAAUAUAUUUAACCGCAUGGUUCAAUAGUGAAAGACGGUUUUGCUGUCACUUAUAGAUGGAUCCGCGCCGCAUUAGCUAGUUGGUAAGGUAACGGCUUACCAAGGCGACGAUGCGUAGCCGACCUGAGAGGGUGAUCGGCCACACUGGAACUGAGACACGGUCCAGACUCCUAAGGGAGGCAGCAGUAGGGAAUCUUCCGCAAUGGGCGAAAGCCUGACGGAGCAACGCCGCGUGAGUGAUGAAGGUCUUCGGAUCGUAAAACUCUGUUAUUAGGGAAGAACAAAUGUGUAAGUAACUAUGCACGUCUUGACGGUACCUAAUCAGAAAGCCACGGCUAACUACGUG
rnacentral:rRNA from 1 species